GGCCCGGUGGUGGAUGGUCCGUACCUGCACUCAAUGGUAUGUUCGGCAACGGCAGUUUGCAGGAGGUGCGCGUUCGAUUCGCGCCCGGGCUA